rnacentral:lncRNA from 1 species
AGAUUUCACUGUGGACAGAUGGCAGCUUUGGCUGGAUCAGCUCGAUUCUUCGAAGAGAGGACAACUUUGAAAUACAUGCCUGCUCCAGGUUGACUGGAAAUGACUGACUAGAUUGCUGUGUUAAGAAGGAUUCUGAGGUCUUAUCCAGGCUCAGCAGAAAUCAGUAAGUAUCCCUCCAUGUGUGCUGUGUAAAUGCCUCUCUUUUGUUGAUGGCUGUUUGCAGGGCCUGUCCAUGCCUGUGCCUC